rnacentral:rRNA from 1 species
AGUGAACGCUGGCGGUAGGCCUAACACAUGCAAGUCGAACGGCAGCACAGUAAGAGCUUGCUCUUACGGGUGGCGAGUGGCGGACGGGUGAGGAAUACAUCGGAAUCUACUUUUUCGUGGGGGAUAACGUAGGGAAACUUACGCUAAUACCGCAUACGACCUACGGGUGAAAGCAGGGGAUCUUCGGACCUUGCGCGUUUGAAUGAGCCGCUGUCGGAUUAGCUAGUUGGCGGGGUAAAGGCCCACCAAGGCGACGAUCCGUAGCUGGUCUGAGAGGAUGAUCAGCCACACUGGAACUGAGACACGGUCCAGACUCCUACGGGAGGCAGCAGUGGGGAAUAUUGGACAAUGGGCGCAAGCCUGAUCCAGCCAUACCGCGUGGGUGAAGAAGGCCUUCGGGUUGUAAAGCCCUUUUGUUGGGAAAGAAAAGCAGCAGGUUAAUACCCCGCUGUUCUGACGGUACCCAAAGAAUAAGCACCGGCUAACUUCGUG